UACGGGGGGGGGCAAGCGUUGUUCGGAAUUACUGGGCGUAAAGGGCUCGUAGGCGGCCAACUAAGUCGGAUGUGAAAUCCCCAGGCUUAACCUGGGAAUUGCAUCCGAUACUGGAUGGCUUGAAUCCGGGAGAGGGAUGCGGAAUUCCAGGUGUAGCGGUGAAAUGCGUAGAUAUCUGGAGGAACACCGGUGGCGAAGGG
rnacentral:rRNA from 1 species